UGGUUUGCCUUCUUUGUUUCUUUCUUUUUUUCAUCAUAGAUUUGCUUGUAAGCAGAUAAUGCACAGUGAACAUUCCUUUCUGUUAAUGAAAACCUUUUGCUGUUGGCAUCUACAUUU